GAUGAACGCUGGCGGCGUGCCUAAUACAUGCAAGUCGAGCGAACGGACGAGAAGCUUGCUUCUCUGAUGUUAGCGGCGGACGGGUGAGUAACACGUGGAUAACCUACCUAUAAGACUGGGAUAACUUCGGGAAACCGUAGCUAAUACCGGAUAAUAUUUUGAACCGCAUGGUUCAAAAGUGAAAGACGGUCUUGCUGUCACUUAUAGAUGGAUCCGCGCUGCAUUAGCUAGUUGGUAAGGUAACGGCUUACCAAGGCAAAGAUGCAUAGCCGACCUGAGAGAGGGAGCGGCCCCACACGGAAUGAGACACGGCCCAAACUCCUACGGGAGGGUGCAGGAGGGAAUCUUCCCCAAUGGGGGAAAGCCUGAUGGGGCAAAGCCGCGUGUGUGAUGAAGGGGUUUGGGUCGUAAAACACUGUUGUAUGGGAAGAACAAAUAGGAUAAGAAAUGAUUGUAGUUUGACGGUACCACAACAGAAAGGGACGGCUAAAUACGUG
rnacentral:rRNA from 1 species